AAAAAAAAAAAAAAAAAAAAAAAAACGGACACUAAAAACACAAUAUCAAGUGAUUCCUUCAUCGUAUAACAUUGAAAGCUAAUGUUUCAUCCUAACUGUAUGCUGGUAAUCUACGAAACUAUGUAGCAGCACGUGACUUGGAUUAUACCUAGAUGGUUUAAGAGAUCUUAUAGCUGCAAUGGCUUAUAGAAGAGAAGCAUCUCCACUUGUUCAUUUACAUACCAUUAUAUAUGUACACUGGCAACGACAAAUGUUGUAGAAGAUCCAUUUACAAGCCCUUUUAGAUUUACCGAUUACGGGGAAUAGGGGCUUGCCUCGUUGCUAUAAAAUGAAUACUCACUCAGGCUGAAGUUGGGUCUUUCUUCUUCCCACUUCAAAAUCUCCCUUGCAUAUUUAAGAGCUCCAUCAACACUAUCAGGUUCCAGCCCCCUAACCAAAGAAACAUACAACUUCUUUCCUGUUAGUGAAGCAUAAAGCUUCUUGAACUUGACAGCAACAUGGUGGAAAACCAGCUGACCAAUUGAAGGGUUACAAUUGAUGCUAUUCCUGUUGCCGCUAGAUUUAUGACGGCUGAUCACAGGAUGGAAAUCAUCAAACCAUUCACACUCAGUCAAUGGAACACGUUCAAUCUUUUCCUCCAACAGAUCAAAUUUGUUCAGUAACAAAAGAAAAUCCAUCUGAUCAAAGGUGGGAUGAGUAACAAUACUCUCAAAGAAUCUCCUGCUCAUCAACAUCUUGUUUGUAGAACACCCAUUGCCAUCAACUGCAUAUUGGUCAUAGUCACUCAAUGCAACACAGAAAAUGACCAUCCCAACAUCUUCAAACAUCUCAAGCCACUUGCAGUUCUCUCCCAGCCCCCGUGCGUGUACACUAAUCAGUUGGUAUCUGAGAAGAGAG
rnacentral:misc_RNA from 1 species